rnacentral:rRNA from 1 species
UCUUGAAAUUUAAAGAAUUUGGCGGUGUUUUAGUCUGGUUAGAGGAACCUGUUUUAUAAACGAUAUAACACGCAUUAUUUUACUUACUUUGGUAGAUCAGUUUGUAUACCGUCAUUAUAAGAUAAUUUAAGAGAGAAUAUUAUUGAAAUCAUAUUAUUGAGUAUAUUAGAUCAAGGUGCAGCUUAUGAGUAAGUAAACAUGGGUUACAAUAAAAUUUAUUUAUAUGAAUUAGGCGUUUAAAUGUGUUUAUGAAGGAGGAUU